rnacentral:lncRNA from 1 species
UGGCAGCAGGAUGUGUGGACCCAAGCACUACCUCUCAGCCAUGAACCCGGGCUCUCAUGAAAGAGCCAAGGUCAAGCUGGAGAGCAGCUGGGGGAAGCUAACUCUGUGCAGACAGCAUUGCUGUUGAUGACUUGGUAAGGCCGGCUCAUCAGGUUCAUAGAGAUGUGGAAUAUUCGGCAUUAAUCAGGGAAGGUAACCAGAGCUCAGCUGUGGAAUCUGAACUUGGGCAAUACCCAGAGAUCCAAGACCUUGUCUGCUUCCCUAUCACUGGGUGACCUCAGUGUUGAGAGUUUAGGGAAAAGAGAGUCUAGUUGCCUUGGGAAGAUGCUGGCAGGGAUUUGGUGGGUACUCCUGAGGUUCUACUGUCUGCAGAAAACUGGAGGUGGAAUGGAGAAAGCUAGGCAGAGGUCUGAAGCAGGGGAUGGAGAAGAUGAACCUGAAGAUAUACUCCACCUGCCCUGGUGAGGGCCUGGGAGAUAGCAGUAGGGCAGGUGGGGGAGAGAGUGCUGCCGGAGGACCCCCGAGGUGGUGGUGAAACCUCAGUGUACACACAGUGGGUUUGUCCCAUUCCCAUCUCCUUGUCUCAUGACAGUGUGGGUGAGGCUUGAGUUCCAAGACCAGAAUAUCAGACUCAAUACCAAUUGUGAAUGUGUCACUUGACACUGUGGAUGAGACGUCCCUGGUACACAUGCCUUCUAUGUGGCCCCUUUCUCUCCUGGACCCCCCCCCCCCAGGCCCAGUGGGUACCCAGAAUAAACUGGAUGAGGAGGGCCACCACCACUAGUCCCCUGAAGCAUCUCUUGUCACCAGGCAGCUUCUCAGUCACCAUGCAAGGGUAAGACCAUUCAGUCAGCAGCAGGCCUGGGGCUCCCUUUGAGGGUUGGAUGGAGACAAAUUUAAUUCCAGAAACAAUUAAGCGGAUGUUAUGUUGGGAGCCAGAUUUCUUUUCUCCUUCUUUUUCACAGUUGCUAUAAUAAUGUAAGACUUCUAAAAAUAUAGCCAUAAGGACGGCACCACCAGAGCUUGCUAACCAAAAAAAUAAUGAGGUUAAAAUGAGCUACAGAUUCAUCAGCUGAUUACAGGGAAUGGCCCAAUGCCCUUGGGAGGCAACACUGCUUUCCCCAAUACUGUCCAGCCAAUAUCUGACUGGUGAGCCAAUGCCUCUAUUCUGUUUGUUUUAUUUCUUCAAACAGAUCUGGGAUCAGGGGUAUGAAAAGACCAACGACCAAAAAGCUAAAUAAAACAAGGCAAGGCUCACUGCGAGGGGAAGGCGGAGCAGGACGCUGGCUAAAGUUGCAAAACCUUUAAGAAGCAGCCAUGAUCUGACAGGAACUCUCCUCCGGGGAUUGCACAGGAUUUCCAUGUGCACGGGCUGGGACUUGGGGGAGCAUGGGAGAAAGUGCCAUUCUGGAAAAGACACUGGACUUGGAGUAAGAGGAUCAUGAGCUGGAUGUGGUGGCGCAUGCCUGCAAUCUCAGCAGCUGGGGAAGCUGAGGCAGGAGGAUCACGAGUUCAAAGCCAGCCUCAGCACAAGUGAGGCACUAAGCAAUUCAGUGAGACCCUGUCUCUAAAUAAAAUACAAAAAAGGGCUGAGGAUGUGGCUCAGUGGUAGAGUGCCCCUGAGUUCAAUCUCUGGUACCCCCCAUCACCCCCCCAAAAAAAAGAUCAUGGUUCAAGUUCCUGGUUCUAGGAUCUGGAGCUUAAUUCUUGGCUUUUUGGGUUUGCAUUUUCUUACUAGUAACAUGGUGCUAAAAUAUGCCUAUCUAGGAGGAAUCCGUGGCAUCUUGGAGGGGAAAUAAUUUAAUAAAGUACCAAAGGUCUGUUGCUGCCAGUCUCCUUUGGUUGUCAUAUUGGUUAUGGGGAAUAAUCCUCACCUUUCUCCCACUUCAGAACCAAUUAAGUACAUAGAGAAGUCAGAAAGGGGAUGAAAAUGUCAUCUUUGUUGCUAGUUAGGCUGGAUUUAAGACAUGGGCUUCUUACUAUGUCCUGUAAUGUCCUAUCUUUUUCUUUUGAUAUUCUGUACCUGUCAUGGUGAUUAUACUAUUAGCUUCUGGAGAGCAGAGAUUAUGUCUUCU